rnacentral:lncRNA from 1 species
AUGGUCCCCCAGUAUCGAACUCUGCAGACUGUCAGGACGGGACGCUCGCUCUGUGCCACCGGGCGGCCUGUCCCACGGUAUUUACAGACAGGAGCAGUUGCCAGAGUUAUGCGUGACAUUUCCUGGCGGAGCAGCUGUCGGAUGUAUUUACAGCCGGUAAUAGACGGUAUAUUUCGGUACUACAGACCGAUACUUCAUACACGCGCUUCUACUAAAAACAUAAAUCCUCCAGCCAUUUUAAUUUCUAAUAAUAAUAAUAAUAAUAACAGUAACAAUAGUCCCCAGAAUAGAAUGAAACGAAGAUGCCCUGCGUCGCCUGCGUUAUUAAUAAUAUGUAUUUAUUCCCAGAUCUUCACCCCACGGCUGGGAUCGGGUCUUUCGGGGGCCACCAGCAGGCCUGACCCCGGCCCGUACCCCAGGAACGUCCCCACAAGGAGGACCAGACGUUCGUGGUGUCCGCUUUUGGGGACCAGCGUGAACCCCGCCUCCCAGGACACCCGCCCGAACCCGACCGACCGACCGACCGACUCACCAUCAUCUUCCCGAGCCGCGGAACGCGUCAGGGACGCAUGUCGCACGACGGCGGCGGCGACGGCGACGGAUGCUGGGCUCGUGCGGAGCCGCGCUGCGCUUCCAUCGAUGACGUAAUGUGGAAUCUCUCCGCGUGCGCCGAGACGCGCAGGACGUCACCGCCGACCGAGAUUUCUGCCCGUCGUCACGUGACACACGAUAAACGCUUUCCGAAUUAGAUUUAAUUAAAAUGAAAUCUUAUUGUCAAGGUAUUUAUUUUCUGCCAACCAUUUGGUACAGUAAUGAUUGUUGCCGUGAUUUAAACUGAUAUAAAUCAGUCGCCGUGAUUUAUAAUCCAGAGGACGCGCAGCCGCGAAUUAUUCGUGAAUUUGUUACGCCGCAGUAGUGCAGCGCGCAGCUCGAACGCGCCCCUGCGCAGACAUGCGCAGAUCUGCGCAGCGCCGCCGCCGCCGAACACGCCCCUCUUGUUGCCUGGCAACCGCCGUUCGGCAAACUGCUGGAGCCAAAAGUUUAGACCAUAGUAUAAAAAUGUAUAAUAAACGAAUUGUAUACGCAUAUAUAUAUUCUUAU